GGGAGGGGGUUGUCAAGGAAGGUCAUGAAGCCACCAGCUUUUACUUCCACAAGUCUGGAAUGAGGGAACAAUUCCUCCCCUUCAUUCCGUCCACAAGUCUGCAAUGAGAUGAUGCCUGAGACACUGAAUUCCUUGAGCAAUUUGUAUUUGUCUACGGCAGGGAGUAAAAGUGCAUCUAGAAGAUCAGAGUUCCAUAAAUGUUGCCAGAGAAUAGAGCAAUUGGCUUUUUAAUGGAUGUGUGGGGUGCAAGCAGAAGCCUCCACGUGGCGCAUCCCGGGAAAUGGCGACGACAGAAACUGUACCACAGUGACUGACUGAAGUAGCCAAUUCUGCAACCACCGGCCGUCAACCGUCACUGACUGACCGGAAAGACGUGAUGUAGAAGAUGGCCGGACAUGAGGAAGAAGAAAUGAAUGUGUAGCAGUGGUUGAGGGUGUUCUGGCCCGUGGCUGGACAAGAGACAUGCUGUUAGUAUUUUGGUAUUAUGUUCUUGAGGUUGACUACAAUGUGCGUACAUCUAUUUAUUGUGUUGUUGCAUUAAUCUGCCUGUAAAGCUGGAGCAAGUACGAAUUUUAUUGUUCUUCUCUGCUGAAAAUAACCAAUGACUUAACUAAUUAUAAGAAAUAAAAUAACCUAAAAUUAGUGAAGAAUAAAUAACACGAUGCACCCUAUCUCGCUCCUACAUUCUUUUGUUUCUAAGCUCAGUUGGAUUCUAGCGUUUUGAACAGAAAUAAUUUAGCAUCCUUUUUCGUGACCUGGUAUACUUUUAUUACAGAGCCUUCAGAUUUUAUUUGCUAAUGUAUGUUCUAUUUCUGCUUGUGAGCUGAAGUUCUUUUCAACAAUUUGUUUUGUUCUCUUCCUGAGCAGUUGUGCUAAGUGCAAAUUCUAAUGGUACUUGUCAUUUUCAGUUUGUUUAAAUUUCACACACUAUUUCCAGUUAUAAAAAUACCAUGAUGCAAAGUACAUUUAACCCAAAAUAGAACAGCAAAAACAUAUCAUGAUGCAAUGGCAAAAUACUUCAACAAAUAAAAAUGCUGAAAAUAUAACAGUUGUCUCAAUGGGAUAUAAUCUUGGUCAAAUUUUACCUUAAAAAUAGAAAAUAUAGGCUUCACAAAUGUAGCAACAUUAAGUUACACUCCCCGUCCCCACUCCCCGUCCGACCUCUCUGUCCUGUGUCUCCUCCAUGGCCAGAGUGAGCAACAUCGGAAAUUGGAGGGACAGCACCUCAUAUUCCGCUUGGGGAGUCUGCAUCCUGCGGGCAUGAACAUUGAAUUCUCCCAAUUUUGUUAGCCCUUGCUGUCUCCUCCCCUUCCUCAGCCCUUGGGAUGUCUCCUCCCAUCCCUCAGACCCCGGGCUCCUCCUCCUCCUUUUUCCUUCCAUCUCCCCACCACCCCCUAUCAGUCUGAAGAAGGGUUUCGGUCCGAAACGUUGUCUAUUUCCUUCGCUCCAUAGAUGCUGCUGCACCCACUGAGUUUCUCCAGCAUUUUUGUGUACCUUAAGUUACAGGAUGCAGCAAUGUAGCUCAAACUGUUUGGAACGUGAAGCAUUGUGCAAAGCAAGACUUGAAACCACUCCUGUCAUUCAUCCUGCUGUUCCUAGUAAAUAAUGAACAGAAGCACAUGAGACUGCAGAUGCUGUAAAAUACAAAGUGCUAGACUAACUCAGUGGCUCAGGCAACAUCUCUGGUGAAUAUGGAUAGAUGUUGCCUAUCCAUGUUCUUUAGUGAUGCUGCCUGAACCGCUGAGUUACUCCAGCAUAUUGUGUCUUUUUCCCAUUCCCUGACCUUCUAAAACUAAUGAACUCAGACUCGAGAAGAUUCAAUGACAUUUCAUCCACAUCAUAUAUCAUAAUCAUACAGCACGGAAACGUGCCCUUUGCCCUUGCUGACAAAGAUGCCCCAUCUACACUGCUCUCACCAGCCCGAGUUUGGCCCAUAUCCCUCUAAACCCUUCCUAUCUGGGUAGAGAAUUCCAAAGAUCCACAAUCAUCUUAGUAAAUGUUUUCUCAUCAUCAAAAAUAGUCUUAAAUGGCCAACCUAUUUCACUGAAAAUAUAACUCCCUGGUCUGGUCUGCAGUUACAGAAAGAACCCCCCAGCAUCUGCCUUGUCAAUCACCAUUUCAAUAAGUUUAAGAAAGAACUGCAGAUGCUGGAAAAAUCGAAGGUAGA